rnacentral:rRNA from 1 species
UGGGGAAUAUUGGACAAUGGGGGAAACCCUGAUCCAGCAAUGCCGCGUGUGUGAAGAAGGCCUUUGGGUUGUAAAGCACUUUAGGCUGGGAGGAAGGUGUGAUGUUUAAGAGAUGUUACAUUUGACUGUACCGGCAGAAUAAGCACCGGCUAACUCUGUGCCAGCAGCCGCGGUAAUACAGAGGGUGCGAGCGUUAAUCGGAGUUACUGGGCGUAAAGGGCGCGUAGGCGGUUAUUUAAGUUAGAUGUGAAAUCCCUGGGCUUAACCUAGGAACUGCAUCUGAUACUGGAUAGCUGGAGUAUUGUAGAGGGUAGUGGAAUUUCCGGUGUAGCGGUGAAAUGCGUAGAGAUCGGAAGGAACACCAGUGGCGAAGGCGGCUACCUGGACAAAUACUGACGCUGAGGCGCGAGAGCGUGGGGAGCAAACA